UAAUACGUAGGGGGCAAGCGUUGUCCGGAUUUAUUGGGCGUAAAGAGCGUGUAGGCGGCCAGACAAGUCUGCUGUGAAAACUCGAGGCUCAACCUCGAGCUGUCGGUGGAAACUGUCUGGCUAGAGUCCGGAAGAGGAGAGUGGAAUUCCUGGUGUAGCGGUGAAAUGCGCAGAUAUCAGGAAGAACACCUAUGGCGAAGGCAGCUCUCUGGGACGGUACUGACGCUGAGACGCGAAAGCGUGGGGAGCGAACAGGAUUAGAUACCCUGGUAGUCCACGCCGUAAACGAUGGGUGCUAGGUGUGGGCGGUGUCGACUCCGUCCGUGCCGAAGCUAACGCAUUAAGCACCCCGCCUGGGGAGUACGGCCGCAAGGCUA
rnacentral:rRNA from 1 species